UUAGUUCUUUAAAUUGUAAAGAUUUUAGAAACAAUAGAUUUUAGAUUUAUUUAUUUUAAGGUACAAAGUCCUAGCGGUCAAAUCCAUUUCUCAGACUAAAUGGGUUAAGUGUCAGCUGCUAGCUGGAGAGAAACGGGCAUCUGACCAAGUCAAAGGGAUGUUAGAAGGGAAAAGCUCCCAAAAGCGCAACCGGAAAUUGGCAGAUGGCGAAAUGCAGCCAGCGAAGGACCAGAGUCGAUGGAGGUUAGGGGGAGCAGAAACAAGGGAGUCGAACAAUGCAUAACGUCAAAACGAUCUGUCAGUUUGAAAAAUCGCUGGAAGCUUCUAGCCCUCGGAUACGUUCUGGUGCCCUUGCCUCCGAUUCUGGUAUGAAUACUCCCUGGUGUGUGUUGGUGGGGGCCAUGGCAAUGUCAUCGUCACUGAGCUUCUCCGACUUAUCCUCAUCAGCUUCUCCUCCCGCUGACUGCGUAUUCAUGGCACAAUUGGCUUAAGGCAAUUGCGUCAGACUGCAUUCUUGAAGGACGGCGACAGGAAUGUGAGUGGCGCAGGAGCACGACUCGAGCAAAACCCGGUCCAUGAACCAUUGGAUUUGUAACGCUUACAGCACCCAGCAGGUUGUCAGUCUUGAGCCCCUGAAAGCCCCAAAA